AUGAUAUCGUCUAUGAGCAAGUGCUCGCCAACCCCCACUCACCCGCAGUCAGCUCUUUCGACGGCGACCUUACAUACCGGGAAUUGGACGACCAAGCAUCAAGUAUGGCCCGAAAGCUGAUGGAGUUAGGUGUCCAGGCCGAAGUUAUGGUUCCAAUAUGCUGCAAUAAGUCAAAGUGGGCUGUUGUAGCGAUGCUAGCAGUCCUGAAAGCAGGUGGGGCUUGUGUUCCUGUAAGCCCAGAAUAUCCAGCGACACAAUUGCAAACUGUUUUAGAAAGUGUGCGAGCUUCAAUCGUCUUGGUCGGGGCUGAGUGCCUUGAUCUUUUCGAGUCAUUCAGUGUGCAGGUACUAUCUAUCGAUGAGCUUCUAGCCAGCUCGACAUUGAAAGAGACAAUAUAUACGAAUUCUACAUCUGUGAAGCCAAAUAAUGCUGCUUUCGUAAUCUACACGUCAGGAAGCACGGGCAUUCCAAAAGGUAUAGUUCUUGAACAUGCAGCUAUUUGUACGAGCUCUAAAGCUCAUGCGACGGCCUUUGGAAUCAAUGCCACGUCCAGAGUUGGCCAAUUUGCUGCUUACACUUUUGACGUGAGCAUACAAGAUAUAUUCACCACCCUCCAGCGUGGAGGCUGUGUGUGUAUUUUCUCUGAUUUCGAGCGCCUCAACGAUUUGGGCGGGGCCAUCGGUCGUCGUCGAGUCAAUUGGAU
rnacentral:sRNA from 1 species